GCCACUGGUCCUACAUUUUAUCUGUUAUCUGUCCGCCCGCUCCACACUUCGUCCGCCCCACACCCGGUCAAUCAGUCCAUCCGACACACACUCCGUCAGUCCGACACAUUCUCCGUCGGUCCGUCCGGCACUCAGUGUGUCAUUCCGCACCACAUUCGGUCCGUGAGUCUGUCCACACCGGGUCCGUCAGUCCGUGCACACACGGUCCGUCCACGCCUGGUCCGUCAGUCCGUCACAUCCUCUGCGCGUGUGUCCGGCACUCGCAGUCCGUCUACUCACGUCCCCUAGUCAGCCUCUCACUCUCUACCCGCUGGGCGGUACCCCGCAUCUCGCUCUGGCCGCCCCAGAGGUUCGCGGCUUCUGGACCUGCUGUGCCCCUCUCCAGCCUGGAUCAGGACGGAGAACACCCCCGAAACCCACCUCACCAGCACAGCCGGCGGACCCUUCCGGAGGUGGCCGCAGAGACUAGCCAACUUGCGCGCCCGCCGACCCGGACCACAGCUCCCAGCACACCUCAAGGGCCCACGCCCGCCAGGACUACAAUUCCCGGCGUCCUCCGGAAGCUCAAGUGUACCCAGGCGCGGUGCCUGCUGGGAAUUGUAGUUGACGUUGGUCAGCACGGAGGCCACAGGAUCCCAGCCCGGCCUUUGUGGGACUGAGGUGGCGCUGAGUGGGAGAGCAGCAGGCGAUGCGCGAAAGGCGGGACUUGGAGAUAAAUACUGAGCACCCACAACAGGCAGCCAGCACCACUGCAGAUUGGAUACUGCAAUGAUGAUAAGCAUGGCCUGCCUUUAUGGAGGGUUCUGGAUGUUCCUGUGGAUAACCUCAAGGAGCACGGGACCUGGGACAUGACUGCCCCCAGCAUUCCUUCUGGCGGCAGACAGAGUUUGUCAGUUCGCCAACAUCCUGC
rnacentral:lncRNA from 10 species